CCCAGGCUAAAACUCUAGGAAACUCACCGAAAAUCUUGCACCCACUUUUCUUUCUUUUCUUUCUUUUUCUCUUGGAAGGAUAUGAACUUCCUUCUCAUGCACAAGACUUCUCACGCCCCAGAAUUUUUCUCCAAAAAUCUUCUUCUUGCACGCCCCACUCUUCUCCUCCUUUUAUAACAACGUCAAACAUCUUAUCUAAAAGAAAGG
rnacentral:lncRNA from 1 species